AACGAACGCUGGCGGCAGGCCUCAAACAUGCAAGUCUAGGGGGUGCGGCAAUGCAUCACCGGCGGACGGGUGCGUAACGCGUGGGAAUAUACCUUUUGGUUCGGAACAACUGCGGGAAACUGCAGCUAAUACCGAAUGUGCCCUAACGGGGAAAGAUUUAUCGCCAAAGGAUUAGCCCGCGUAGGAUUAGCUAGUUGGUGAGGUAAUGGCUCACCAAGGCUCCGAUCCUCAGCUGUUCUGAGAGGAAGAUCAGCCACACUGGGACUGAGAC
rnacentral:rRNA from 1 species